UAUUAGCUAGUUGGUGAGGUAACGGCUCACCAAGGCAAUGAUACGUAGCCGAACUGAGAGGUUCUUUCGCCACAUUGGGACUGAGACACGGCCCAAACUCCUACGGGAGGCAGCAGUAGGGAAUCUUCCACAAUGGACGCAAGUCUGAUGGAGCAACGCCGCGUGAGUGAAGAAGGCUUUCGGGUCGUAAAACUCUGUUGUUGGAGAAGAAUGGUCGGCAGAGUAACUGUUGUCGGCGUGACGGUAUCCAACCAGAAAGCCACGGCUAACUACGUGCCAGCAGCCGCGGUAAUACGUAGGUGGCAAGCGUUAUCCGGAUUUAUUGGGCGUAAAGCGAGCGCAGGCGGUUUUUUAAGUCUGAUGUGAAAGCCCUCGGCUUAACCGAGGAAGUGCAUCGGAAACUGGGAAACUUGAGUGCAGAAGAGGACAGUGGAACUCCAUGUGUAGCGGUGAAAUGCGUAGAUAUAUGGAAGAACACCAGUGGCGAAGGCGGCUGUCUGGUCUGUAACUGACGCUGAGGCUCGAAAGCAUGGUAGCGAACAGGAUUAGAUACCCUGGUAGUCCAUGCCGUAAACGAUGAAUGCUAGGUGUUGGAGGGUUUAAGCCCUCAGUGCCGCAGCUAACGCAUUAAGCAAACCGCCUGGGGAGUACGACCGCAAGGUUGAAACUCAAAGGAAUUGACGGGGGCCCGCACAAGCGGUGGAGCAUGUGGUUUAAUUCGAAGCAACGCGAAGAACCUUACCAGGUCUUGACAUCUUUUGAUCACCUGAGAGAUCAGGUUUCCCCUUCGGGGGCAAAAUGACAGGUGGUGCAUGGUUGUCGUCAGCUCGUGUCGUGAGAUGUUGGGUUAAGUGGCGCAACGAGCGCAACCCUUAUGACUAGUUGCCAGCAUUUAGUUGGGCACUCUAGUAAGACUGCCGGUGACAAACCGGAGGAAGGUGGGGAUCUGGUCAAAUCAUCAUGCCCCUUAUGACCUGGGCUACACACGUGCUACAAUGGAUGGUACUUCGAGUUGCGAGACCGCGAGGUCAAGCUAAUCUCUUAAAGCCAUUCUCAGUUCGGACUGUAGGCUGCAACUCGCCUACACGAAGUCGGAAUCGCUAGUAAUCGCGGAUCAGCACGCCGCGGUGAAUACGUUCCCUUUCCUUGUACACACCGC
rnacentral:rRNA from 2 species